CCUACGGGCGGCUGCAGUGGGGAAUAUUGCACAAUGGGCGCAAGCCUGAUGCAGCCAUGCCGCGUGUGUGAAGAAGGCCUUCGGGUUGUAAAGCACUUUCAGCGGGGAGGAAGGCGGUGAGGUUAAUAACCUCAUCGAUUGACGUUACCCGCAGAAGAAGCACCGGCUAACUCCGUGCCAGCAGCCGCGGUAAUACGGAGGGUGCAAGCGUUAAUCGGAAUUACUGGGCGUAAAGCGCACGCAGGCGGUCUGUCAAGUCGGAUGUGAAAUCCCCGGGCUCAACCUGGGAACUGCAUUCGAAACUGGCAGGCUAGUGUCUUGUAGAGGGGGGUAGAAUUCCAGGUGUUGCGGUGAAAUGCGUAGAGAUCUGGAGGAAUACCGGUGGCGAAGGCGGCCCCCUGGACAAAGACUGACGCUCAGGUGCGAAAGCGUGGGGAGCAAACAGGAUUAGAUACCCGGGUAGUC
rnacentral:rRNA from 1 species